AACGAACGCUGGCGGCGUGCUUAACACAUGCAAGUCGUACGAGAAAUCUGGACUUCGGUCCAGAGAGUAGAGUGGCGCACGGGUGAGUAACGCGUAGGUAAUCUACCCUCGGGUCUGGGAUAACUCGCCGAAAGGCGGGCUAAUACCGGAUAAUGUCUUUCAGAGGGAUCUGAUAGACCAAAGGUGGCCUCUCCAUGGAUGCUACUGCCUGAGAAUGAGCCUGCGUCCCAUUAGCUUGUUGGUAGGGUAAUGGCCUACCAAGGCCACGAUGGGUAGCUGGUCUGAGAGGAUGAUCAGCCACACUGGAACUGAAACACGGUCCAGACUCCUACGGGAGGCAGCAGUGAGGAAUAUUGCGCAAUGGGGGAAACCCUGACGCAGCGACGCCGCGUGGGUGAAGAAGGCCUUUGGGUCGUAAAGCCCUGUCUAGAGGGAAGAAACUCUUAAUGGAAUAAUACCCAUUAAGACUGACGGUACCUCUGGAGGAAGCACCGGCUAACUCCGUGCCAGCAGCCGCGGUAAUACGGAGGGUGCGAGCGUUGUUCGGAAUUACUGGGCGUAAAGCGGGUGUAGGCGGUCUGUUAAGUCAGAUGUGAAAGCCCACGGCUUAACCGUGGAAGUGCAUCUGAAACUGGCAGACUUGAGUACCGGAGAGGGAAGUGGAAUUCCUGGUGUAGGGGUGAAAUCCGUAGAUAUCAGGAGGAACACCGGUGGCGAAGGCGACUUCCUGGACGGAUACUGACGCUGAGAUCCGAAAGCGUGGGGAGCAAACAGGAUUAGAUACCCUGGUAGUCCACGCCCUAAACGAUGGGCACUAGGUGCAGGGGGUGUUGACCCCUCCUGUGCCGCAGCUAACGCAUUAAGUGCCCCGCCUGGGGAGUACGGCCGCAAGGUUAAAACUCAAAGGAAUUGACGG
rnacentral:rRNA from 1 species